UGACCAGACUCUGCAGUCUGUGGUGUACAAACUGGUGCCGCGCCUCUUCAAUGACGAGAUGCAGCGGCGGAGAGAGUUCUACGCUCACCACCCUCAGAGAGAUCGCAGCCUGUCGCCGGAGAGGCGUGGUGACGUCAGCUCCCAGCAGUUUGUGUACACGCUCACCGACCCCAUCAGCUUCAGCCUCGAGUACUACAGGUCGGUUGACGAGGAG